AUAAUCUGGACAAACUCUCAUUCACUGAAUGGUUAUACAUUCAUUUGGUGAUGUAUACAUUUAUUUGUGUAUGUGUAUGUGCAGGAUUGCAAAACUGGAAUUCUCGUCUGUGAAGCGAGCAAGCCAAAAAGGAUUAUUGCCCUGGGCUGCUCAACAGAGGAACUUCAUGCUGUGCCAAAAGUGCUGUUAAGGUUUCCUAAGGCACUGCAGGGCUGCGAAGUUUACAUGUCUCGGAUGCCUUGCAAUUAUUGUGCAAAAUUGCUGGUUCAAGCACAAGUCUCACAAGUCUAUUACUGGCCAAAUUUUGAAAUUGAAAUGGCAGAAAGUGAGAAAAGGGAUGCUCUGGCAAAGUAUGCUAAUACCAUCUUUACAGAAAGUUAUAUUGUUGCAGCACCAUAUGUACCAACAAUAGACAAUCAAAGGAAGAUGAAAAAACCUAAUUCCAACAAAAGAGCAUCUUCUCAUGAUGAUAUAAUCCCAGUUUCAUCUAUAUUUGAUGGGAAAAUUGAUGGGGAAAUUUUAAAGUGUUUUAACUUGGAGCACCUGAAAAGAGACCAACUGGAAAAAUAUAAAAGCAAUCUUGAUACAGCAAAGAAAUGUUUCGAAACUCUGGCAAGUUGCAGAGAUGAAGAAAUAAUAAUCUUAGAAGAGGAGAAAUCAACUGUAAAGAAUAAUCCUAAAUACACCCAUGCGUUACAGCUCUGUGAUUUAUUAGCAUCCAGAAGCGACAAUAAUAAUGGAGUGGGGACAGUGAUUUACAAGGAAGACAACAUUGUUGCCCUGGGCUACAGUGGAUAUCCAAAAGGGGCAGUGAAUAGUUUAUUUUGCAAGAAUAAAGAUGAUGAUUUUGACAAGCAUGCAAUUGUAUGUGCAGAAGCUAAUGCAAUUAUUAUGAGUUCUGAGGGAGACCUGCGUGAUGCUGAACUCAUCACUACAUGUGAACCCUGCCAGGACUGUCUGAAACUGAUCCAAGCAAAGAAUAUAGCAAAAGUCAUUUGGCCUGUGCGAGACAGAAAUGUAGGUAACAAUUGGAGAAGGUUAAAAGCCGUGUGUUCAAGACUUGCUGUUCCUUUGUCCCCUGUCUGAGGACAUCUUUCUAAAACCU
rnacentral:lncRNA from 1 species